rnacentral:rRNA from 1 species
AGGACGAACGCUGGCGGCGUGCUUAACACAUGCAGGUCGAGCGGAAAGGCCCUUCGGGGUACUCGAGCGGCGAACGGGUGAGUAACACGUGAGUAACCUGCCCCUAGCUCUGGGAUAGCUCCGGGAAACCGGGAUUAAAUACCAGAUACGACCACUUUAGACAUCUGUCGUGGUGGAAAGGAUUCCGGCUAGGGAUGGGCUCGCGGCCUAUCAGCUUGUUGGUGGGUAACGCCUACCAAGGCGACGACGGUA